GCAGAAGCCCCCGGCCAGCAGCCAGCACCGGCUUGCCAGCUACGUGAGCGAGGCGGCCUGCAGGCAGGCCCCCAGCCCCAGCCGCUCUGUGCAGAUAACCGAGUCCUGAUCGGUAUGUUGACUACAGCUCAGAACAGACCGAUUGGACCCCAGGCUCCACCAGCCCCUCUUCCCCUGACUCAGGAGCCGUGAGACAACAAAUACUAUGGUUUUAAACCGUUACGUUUUCAGGUAAUUUCCUACACAGCAACAUACAACUAAUACCUGCUGUUCAUGUCUGUACUGGGAUGGUCUUAAAUUCAAAGCUGAGGGAGAACCAAUCUCUACAAUGGUUAAGUCUUCCUGUUCAACACCUUUUAAUUUACUUAAGGUUUCUGUGUGUUUCUCAUAGCAUUUUAAAGUUUUCUUUCAUAGAUUUAGGUACUGUAUCUUUUUGUGGCUAUUGAAAAUGGAAUUUUCUCUUCCAGCACACUUUGCAACAGGUUGUUGUUUGUACACAUGGGGGUGCUGUAUCCAAUCAGGAAUUCCCUUACAUGUUAAUAUCGGGUUUUCAGGUGAUCGUCAGAGCUUCCCAGGUAAACAACCCGAGUCUCUGUGAAUACUACUACUUCUACCUCCCCUUUCACAACCUUAUUUCUUUCUCUUAUCUAAUUUUGCCAGCUGCUAUCUCCAGGGUAACAGUAAAUACGGAUGGCGAUGUUUCAUCUUUAAAGAGAGGCGAUGGCUCUGACUUAAGAGAGAAAGACCCCGGCACGUUGAGACCAGUUCAUCUCCUCCCGUCUCAUCAUGAGCUUCAGUCAGGAAAGACAUAAUGAAUUUUAUCCAGUACCUUCUUGGCGACUGUGGGGUUACCAAGUAACUUUUCUCUUAAGAUGUAUCAGCAGAGUAAAUUAUAUCAAUAGAUUUUACCAUUCAAUCAUUCUUUAAAAAGUGAAGGUCUUUAUAACGCUUUCUCUAUCAGUCCUGUGAGUAAGCUCUUAUUUGUUAGCUUCCACAGGCUCAUCACACCAGUUAGACAAAAAGCCAUUAUACUGUGAAAUAAAUACGCUAGAAAAAAACUCACCUUCUUCUCUGUCCUUCCCAAAUUCCAACAA